UACGUAGGGUGCGAGCGUUAAUCGGAAUUACUGGGCGUAAAGCGUGCGCAGGCGGUUUUGUAAGCCAGAUGUGAAAGCCCCGGGCUCAACCUGGGAAUGGCAUUUGGGACUGCAAGGCUUGAGUGCGGCAGAGGAGACUGGAAUUCCUGGUGUAGCAGUGAAAUGCGUAGAUAUCAGGAAGAACACCAAUGGCGAAAGCAGCUUUCUGGGACGGUACUGACGCUGAGACGCGAAAGCGUGGGGAGCGAACAGG
rnacentral:rRNA from 1 species